GGCGGGGUUCCUGGGUGCCGUAAAAUUUGGUGGAACGAGGGGAACGGGUUCAAGUUCAAGAGCAAAGCCUGCGUCUCAGUGAUGAGCGGAAGUUGCGAAGCAAGGUUGGUUGCAUGACAAAGGCACUCGCUCUGUGGUAACCGAGCAACGCAGGAAGUGAUCACUGAUCUGGGGAGUGACAGGCUAACAGACCAAUCAGCACGCUAACAGAGAGAUGGCGCAACAAUAUCGCACGGAUUCAUCCAGAUGAGGACACAGGCACAAAACGUGGGUGCAGGAAUCAGCCAUGAGUAUGUCACGGCAUGCUGGAGGGUCUGACUACUUAAUUAGAUGUACAAAAAGCCUGGGUCAGACGGAGCAGACAGCCAAAGAAAAGGCAGGCGGGAUGAGGCCCUUCAAACUGUCUGCAUCGCACUGUGUGUAUGUGUGUGUGUGUGUGUGUCUGGGUGGCGCUGUGAGAAAGUGUGCACUAUGUGUCUGGACGCAUGUGGGUGUGCCUUCAUUGGCACUGACACGCUUAAAGUGAAGGUGAAGGCAUAGAGGCAUAUGCAAGUACUCCUGCAACAAUGAAAUAUUAACAUACUAAUAAAUGUGCUCACAUAUUUAAAAAGUAAGCAGAAAAUGUAAUAUAAAACACCAACCCUUUCUUAAUUAAACUAAAUAAUAGUUUCUGCCCCACAGUUUUCUCAUUAGCAUAGGCAAGUUGAAAAGGGAGAUAGAACCUGUUGCUUACAAAAUGUGCUUUUAUCUUCUAACAGUGAGUUGAAACGCCAUUACGGUACACAGUCUAAUAUGAUCUUACUCAUUUUUGCUUGAUACUAUCAUAGUUGUAUGACGUUAUUAAUCAUUCAUUCAUUUUAAGUUAAAGGUUAUCCGCUGAGUGGCAAUAAAAAGCAAUCAUCAAUAACCCUGACAGCCCGAUGCCAUUAUUGACGCAUACAUGAACAAAUACGCGUUUUUUAAUGGAUACUGCAUAUGGGUCCGCUCUCAUAAUACGUUUCAAAUAUGUUGAAA